rnacentral:rRNA from 1 species
GUGCCAGCCGCCGCGGUAAUACGGAGGAUCCAGGCGUUAUCCGGAUUUAUUGGGUUUAAAGGGUGCGCAGGCGGGGAAUUAGGUCGGCGGUGAAAUUUCGGGGCUCAACCUCGACAGUGCCGUUGAAACCGUUUCUCUUGAGUGCGGAUGAGGUAGGCGGAAUUUGUGGUGUAGCGGUGAAAUGCGUAGAUAUCACAAGGAACACCGAUUGCGGAGGCAGCUUACUAAACCGUUACUGACGCUCAUGCACGAAGGCGUGGGGAUCAAACAGGAUUAGAUACCCUGGUAGUCCACGCAGUAAGCGAUGAUUACUUGCUGUUUGCGAUACACAGUAAGCGGCGAAGCGAAAGCGUUAAGUAAUCCACCUGGGGAGUACGUUCGCAAGAAUGAA